rnacentral:rRNA from 1 species
CAGUAGCCGCGGUAAUCCGAAGGGUGCAAGCGUUACUCGGAAUUACUGGGCGUAAAGCGUGCGUAGGUGGUGGUUUAAGUCCGUUGUGAAAGCCCUGGGCUCAACCUGGGAAUUGCAGUGGAUACUGGGUCACUAGAGUGUGGUAGAGGAUAGUGGAAUUUCCGGUGUAGCAGUGAAAUGCGUAGAGAUCGGAAGGAACAUCUGUGGCGAAGGCGACUAUCUGGGCCAACACUGACACUGAGGCACGAAAGCGUGGGGAGCAAACAGGAUUAGAUACCCCAGUAGUCCCUGUCUCUUAUAC